rnacentral:rRNA from 1 species
GACGAACGCUGGCGGCGUGCUUAACACAUGCAAGUCGAACGGAAAGGCUCCAGCUUGCUGGAGUACUCGAGUGGCGAACGGGUGAGUAACACGUGGGUAAUCUGCCCUGCACUCUGGGAUAAGCCUGGGAAACUGGGUCUAAUACUGGAUAUGACCUUUCUCCUUAUGGGGUUUGGUGGAAAGUUUUUCGGUGUAGGAUGAGCCCGCGGCCUAUCAGCUUGUUGGUGGGGUGAUGGCCUACCAAGGCAACGACGGGUAGCCGGCCUGGGAGGGUGAUCGGCCACAUUGGGACUGAGAUACGGCCCAGACUCCUACGGGAGGCAGCAGUGGGGAAUAUUGCACAAUGGGCGGAAGCCUGAUGCAGCGACGCCGCGUGAGGGAUGACGGCCUUCUGGUUGUAAACCUCUUUCAGCAGGGACGAAGCGUAAGUGACGGUACCUGCAGAAGAAGCACCGGCUAACUAUGUG